GGGCCGCUAGCUCAACUGGCAGAGCAAUUGACUCUUAAUCAAUCGGUUCCGGGUUCGAGUCCCGGGCGGCUCACCA
rnacentral:tRNA from 1 species